UACGUAGGGUGCAAGCGUUGUCCGGAUUUAUUGGGCGUAAAGAGCUCGUAGGCGGUUUGUCGCGUCUGCUGUGAAAACUCGGGGCUUAACUCCGGGCCUGCAGUCGAUACGGGCAGGCUAGAGUGUGGUAGGGGAGAUCGGAAUUCCUGGUGUAGCGGUGAAAUGCGCAGAUAUCAGGAGGAACGACCGGUGGCGAAGGCGGAUCUCUGGGCCAUUACUGACGCUGAGGAGCGAAAGCGUGGGGAGCGAACAGG
rnacentral:rRNA from 1 species